GCAGACACCGGUGACCACGGGGAUGACCGGAGCGCGGCUUCGGCUCCUAGGCAGAAAGAAGUCAGGGAGGUGAGGGAGAGAAGAAAGGAUAAAGGAGCGGCGGUGCGGCGACCUAGGCAGGAGUUCGCCGGAGCGAGGAGACGGCGGACGGGCGCGGGAGACAGAGGAAUUCGGCGAGGGGGCGUGAAGUCCUUGCAGGUGGAGGCGGGCCAAGAGGGAUCAAAUCGAGACCAAGAGGCCACAGGGAGCGCUCGUGGAGAUGCGUCAUCACCUCAGGCGGACGACGCCACGGCCAUGUCUUCGUCGCCCCUCCCACCGCGAGGAAGAUUACGCCAAGCUAGGCAGCGGCGCUGGGCUGUACGUGGAGCCUCCGUCAGCCGCCUCCGCCCUCCAUACUGAUGCUCCAUCCUCUGUUUCGAUUGGCUCUGCUCCAAGUUCGACAGACCACUGGUGCUACGCCUCGACCUGCUCUGUCACUCCAUGGCACUCCUCCGUCAGACCCCAUCCAACCUUAUUUCACGUUUAUAGGAAUGACUCAUUCUCAUGGCAAAAUGAGGAUGGGACACUCUUCUCAUCUAACAUCUGUUCUACCAGUAGGGCUGGUGGCACUCUAUGGAAUACAAAGCUACUUGAUAAGUUAUGGCAUGAAAUUGCCCGGCCUUUGAUAUAAGCGAAGCAUCAGCCUUGAGGUUAUCCGUGGGGCUGCAAUGAUACACGCUUGAAUGGAAAUAUAUGAAGUCAUGGCUGGAUGUUGCUUUCAACCAGUAUAAGGCUCUGUUGACUAAGCAUGUAGAGAUUGAAAUUGAAUUUGUGACACUAUGUAAUUUCGUCUCUGGGGUAAUCGAAGAAAUGCUCCACGAAUAAGGCGUCCACCAAUAUAUGUUCAACAUCGUGUUCCUGUACUUGA